rnacentral:rRNA from 1 species
UACGUAGGGGGCAAGCGUUACUCGGAAUCACUAGGCGUAAAGCGCAGGUAGGCGGUUCGGUAAGUCUUUUGUGAAAGCUCCCGGCUCAACUGGGAGAGGUCAAAGGAAACUACCGGGCUAGAGUGUGGUAGGGGAAACUGGAAUUCCUGGUGUAGCGGUGAAAUGCGUAGAUAUCAGGAGGAACACCUAUGGCGAAAGCAGGUUUCUGGGCCAUCACUGACGCUGAGCUGCGAAAGCUAGGGGAGCAAACAGG